UGGAAUCUCUGAAGACCCCCCCAAACAAGAUGCCUCAUUAAUAAUUGAAAUUUUGAAAUAAGAAAAUUAUGCCUGCACUGGGGCCACAACUUCCUCUUUUCUGUUUAUCUUCUCCGCAAAGACAUCAGUCUACUUGUCCCACAAGCAUUUGCAUCAUGAAAGUUGCUCUUUAAACAUAAUUCAAGUCCUGAAGAAUACUGGGAAGAACAGCCUCUGAAAUUCACAUCUGGGACAAGCUGGGGGAAAAAAUUCAUAAAGAAGAAAAUCCUGGUAACUUCCCAAUGUUCUACUUUUCCUGUCUCUGGCUUCCUUUUUUCGUUCCACCAAUGUUGUCAGCUUUUAAUUCUUUGGGGAGAAGAAUAAAAGAGAUGGGAAAAGGCCACAGAACGAUACUAAAAGAUGCC
rnacentral:lncRNA from 1 species